rnacentral:rRNA from 1 species
UACGGAGGAUCCGAGCGUUAUCCGGAUUUAUUGGGUUUAAAGGUGCGUAGGCGGAAAUGUAAGUCAGUGGUGAAAUCCUGCAGCUUAACUGUAGAAUAGCCGUUGAAACUGUGUUUCUUGAGUACAUUUGAGGUAGGCGGAAUGUGGUGUGUAGCGGUGAAAUGCAUAGAUAUACCACAGAACACCGAUUGCGAAGGCAGCUUACUAAACUGUCACUGACGCUGAUGCACGAAAGCGUGGGUAUCAAACAGGAUUAGAUA